rnacentral:rRNA from 1 species
UACGUAGGGUGCAAGCGUUAAUCGGAAUUACUGGGCGUAAAGCGUGCGCAGGCGGUUGUGUAAGCCAGAUGUGAAAUCCCCGGGCUUAACCUGGGAAUGGCAUUUGGGACUGCAAGGCUGGAGUGUGGCGGAGGAGACUGGAAUUCCCGGUGUAGCAGUGAAAUGCGUAGAUAUCGGGAGGAAUACCGAUGGCGAAGGCAGGUCUCUGGGCUGACACUGACGCUCAUGCACGAAAGCGUGGGGAGCAAACAGG